rnacentral:rRNA from 1 species
GGGCCGCACGCGCGCUACACUGACUGAGCCAGCGAGUUCAUCACCUUGGCCGAGAGGUCUGGGUAAUCUUGUGAAACUCAGUCGUGCUGGGGAUAGAGCAUUGCAAUUAUUGCUCUUCAACGAGGAAUACCUAGUAAGCGUGAGUCAUCAACUCGCGUUGAUUACGUCCC